UUAAACGUCCAUACCGCGUUGAAUACACCGGUUCUCGUCCGAUCACCAAAGUUAAGCAACGUUGGGCGCGGUCAGUAAUUGGAUGGGUGACCGCCUGGGAAUAACCGCGUGACGUUGGCU
rnacentral:rRNA from 1 species